rnacentral:misc_RNA from 1 species
UGAAGAAGGUCGAAAGCUAUGUUGUUCUUGUGUUAUGUGUUUUUCUUCUGAAGGCCUCGGCUAUCAAAGACAAGGUCCCUUGCCCUCUAAAAUGUUGGGCAGUCGAUUGUCCUGUGUAUCGAUUUCCGAAUAACGGGAGCGAAUAUUGUCCCGAUUGUCCUAGCGGGGAUCCAAACCAGCCUUGUUCAAUCCCACAGUGUGAGGAACAAUGUCCAGAGGACUAAAAGACUCCGAGCAGUGAAGGCUUGUUAUCGCAAAUUUCAGAUGAAAAUAAUUGCAUGUUUAAAUUUGG